AACGAACGCUGGCGGCAUGCCUAACACAUGCAAGUCGAACGAGACCUUCGGGUCUAGCGGCGCACGGGUGCGUAACGCGUGGGAACCUGCCCUUAGGUUCGGAAUAACUCCCCGAAAGGGGUGCUAAUACCGGAUAAUGUCUUCGGACCAAAGAUUUAUCGCCUUUGGAUGGGCCCGCGUUGGAUUAGCUAGUUGGUAGGGUAAACGCCUACCAAGGCGACGAUCCAUAGCUGGGCUGAGAGGAUGAUCAGCCACACUGGGACUGAGACACGGCCCAGACUCCUACGGGAGGCAGCAGUGGGGAAUAUUGGACAAUGGGCGAAAGCCUGAUCCAGCAAUGCCGCGUGAGUGAUGAAGGCCUUAGGGUUGUAAAGCUCUUUUACCCGGGAUGAUAAUGACAGUACCGGGAGAAUAAGCUCCGGCUAACUCCGUG
rnacentral:rRNA from 1 species